rnacentral:misc_RNA from 1 species
CCGAGUUAUCCAACUCCCAACCCCUGUGAAUGUAUCACCUUAAUUGUUGCUUCGGCGGGACUUCGCGCCCGCCGGGGACCCAAACCUUCUGAAUUUUUAAUAAGUAUCUUCUGAGUGGUUAAAAAAUGAAUCA